rnacentral:misc_RNA from 1 species
GGAGUAUCAGAGAUUAAAAAGAUUGAAUUUUUACUAAAUUGAAUAAAUAAUACAACAUGUACCUAUUUUCAUUACUUUGUGUAAGUUCAUUACUUUGUGUAAGAUCUGUUGUUGUUAAUGUACUUUCAACUAAAUUACAGUUUUUCUUAUGAGUAAUAAGAAGAGUUUAAGUUACAUAAUGAUUUCAUUUUGACGAAGCUUUCUAAAGUUCAUUGUUUGAGGCUUUUCCUUAAAUGCUAU